rnacentral:rRNA from 2 species
GGACUACUCGGGUAUCUAAUCCUGUUUGAUCCCCACGCUUUCGAGCCUCAGUGUCAAUUCAGGCCUAGUGAACUGCCUUCGCAAUCGGUGUUCUAUUACAUAUCUAAGCAUUUCACCGCUACAUGUAAUAUUCCAUCCACCUCGACCUGAUUCAAGCUAAGCAGUAUCAAUGGCAAUUCAACAGUUAAGCUGCUGGAUUUCACCACUGACUUACAAAGCCACCUACGCUCCCUUUAAACCCAGUGAAUCCGGAUAACGCUUGCACCCUCCGUAUUACCGCGGCUGCUGGCAC